rnacentral:rRNA from 1 species
GAUGAACGCUGGCGGCGUGCCUAACACAUGCAAGUCGAACGAAGUGGCGAACGGGUGAGUAACGCGUAAUCAACCUGCUCUUCAGAGGGGGUCACUAGUUGGAAACGACUGCUAUUACCGCAAACUGAAGGAAGGGAUUGCGUGUGAUUAGCUAGUUGGAGGGGUAACGGCUCAAAAAGGCGAUGAUCAGUAGCCGGUCUGAGAGGAUGAACGGCCACAUUGGGACUGAGACACGGCCCAGACUCCUACGGGAGGCAGCAGUGGGGAAUCUUCCGCAAUGGACGAAAGUCUGACGGAGCAACGCCGCGUGAGUGAUGACGGCCUUCGGGUUGUAAAGGACUUUUGUCAGGGAAGCGGUACCUGAAGAAUAAGCACCGGCUAACUACGUGCCAGCAGCCGCGGUAAUAC